UACGUAGGGUGCGAGCGUUGUCCGGAAUUACUGGGCGUAAAGAGUUCGUAGGCGGUUUGUCGCGUCGUCUGUGAAAACCCAUCGCUCAACGAUGGGCCGGCAGGCGAUACGGGCAGACUUGAGUACUGCAGGGGAGACUGGAAUUCCUGGUGUAGCGGUGAAAUGCGCAGAUAUCAGGAGGAACACCGGUGGCGAAGGCGGGUCUCUGGGCAGUAACUGACGCUGAGGAACGAAAGCGUGGGGAGCGAACAGG
rnacentral:rRNA from 1 species